rnacentral:sRNA from 1 species
UGUAACCAACGACAGCUUAGCCUGACAA